GCUUGUCUCAAAGAUUAAGCCAUGCAUGUCUCAGUAUAAGCUUCUAUACGGCGAAACUGCGAAUGGCUCAUUAAAACAAUUAUAGUUUAUUUGGUGGUCAACUCUUACAUUGAUAACCGUUGUAAUUCUACAACUAAUACAUGAGCCCAAACCCAACUCCUUGGAAGGGCGGUGUUUAUUAGAUACAGAACCAACCCAGGCUCCGCCUGGCCUUGAGGUGAUUCACAAUAACCAAACGAAUCGCAUAGCUGCCGCUGGCGAUAAACCAUUCAAGUUUCUGGCCUAUCAGCUAUCGUCGGUAAGGUAUUGGCGUACCGUGGCAAUGACGGGUAACGGCGAAUUAGGGUUCGAUUCCGGAGAGGGAGCCUCAGAAACGGCUACCACAUCUAAGGAAGGCAGCAGG
rnacentral:rRNA from 1 species